rnacentral:piRNA from 1 species
UGGGAUCUGUGCAUGGGAUGAGAUGC